GGGUCCGGACACACUGAGGAUUGACAGGCAAAAGAUACAAGUUUUCUUUGUGAGAGCUUGCAUUGUAAAAUAUGCGAGUCCUUUCAUGAUUAUGUGAUAGGUGGUGCAUGGCCGUUCUUAGUUCGUGGAGUGAUCUGUCUGCUUAAUUGCGUUUCACAACGAUUUAAAAUGCUAUGUUUUCUGUGUUUGCUGUUCGGUUUUGCUCUUACGGGAGUUUUAACUUUGAACGCACACGGCGUAGCUUAAAACAAUCGGAAAGCAACGAACGUGACCGCAACCCCUUGUUGCCUUUAUUUUUAAAAGCGUGGAAAAUUUUAUAUUUUCUUACGCUUGAAAAAGGCUUUAAAACUAGAGGGACCGCUGUUCUAUUCUCUUAAACCAGAGGAAGAUUGCGGCAAUAACAGGUCUGUGAUGCCCUCAGAUGUUCCGGGCUGCACACGUGCUACAAUGAUUGUUGCAGUGAGCAUCUAUUUUCAAACGCUACCGUUGCGGAUUUUGUGAGAAGGGGGAUUUGUUUUAAAGCUUUCGGGUGGAGAAGCAGGUUCUUUUUUUCACAAUUUAUUCCGCGUUACGUGUCAGCUAAACCUGCUUCGAAAGCAAGUAGGU
rnacentral:rRNA from 1 species